rnacentral:ncRNA from 1 species
UCCUGACAAAUUACUGCAAUUGCAGUUUUUGUACAUUCGCCACGACAGGAGAUUGACAUG